UAUUACUAUUUACAAAUUAUUUUAUAUAAUGUAUGUUCAUAUAAAGUAAAGUUGAAUGCAUCGGUUUUGAAACAUAAAUAUGAUUUGUAAUUGUUUUUGAAAAGUCCAACUAUAUUAGUUCAUCUGAAAAACGAAUGUGCUUUAGUUAUUUUUUAUUGUUGUUCUAGAUUCUCAGUUUUUUUUUUUUAAUUUGUAUAUCCUUGUUUUUUUGGUUAUAUGUUUAGAUUGUGAGAUGGUGAAAUUUUAGAAAAUUUAUUUCUUA
rnacentral:sRNA from 1 species